GAGCCUUCCUGUGGCUUUUUUUAGCUUUCAAAUGAGGCCCUGAACCAAGAGAUUCAGGCCCCUCUUGGCCUACUCACGAGAGCCCAUGUCUGAAGCCAAGUGUAACCAUCAGUGAGAGCCAGCCCCUGUGUGUGCGCUCUGCUCUCCCUAGGACAAGCCCCGGGCUCCAGAAGGGGAUACUUUCUGUCAUUUCUUUCCUCUGACCAACAUCUCUGCCUCCUCUGGCUCCAGUCCGUCUGUCUUCUCUGCCUGUUCCCUCUUUAAUUAUCCCAAGAGAAGAGCCUCCUACGUGGGCAGGGAGUGUGUGGGCAGCAGCACAGCACAGAAACAUAUCUGCACAUCACAGAAAUGCAGACAAGAGAAGGCCUUGAAAGAUGUGGAGAGAAGGCAACUUAAUGAGCCACAGAGGGAGGGACUGAGCCAGUGGAACACAAUGAAUCGCUUUUAUUUCCGUAUGCAUCCACAUCUCAGCAUUUAGUGGUCCUGAACAGAAAAGUGGAAAAAUGCAGCAAUUUGCCAGGAAGUCAAGCCCGCCAAUUUCGGGGAUCUGCUGUGCACACUGAGUUCUUUCUCGAUCCCUGCUGAGGACCAUGAGACGCAGCAGCACCAAAACCAAAGUAUGCACCAAAUCCAAGGUUCUUUUCGUUCCAGUUGUCAGAUUCCAAACUAGACCCAA
rnacentral:lncRNA from 12 species